AGGGUGACAGCCCCGUACACAAAAGCGCAUGUGUUGUGAGCUCGAUGAGUAGGGCGGGACACGUGGUAUCCUGUCUGAAUAUGGGGGGACCAUCCUCCAAGGCUAAAUACUCCUGACUGACCGAUAGUGAACCAGUACCGUGAGGGAAAGGCGAAAAGAACCCCGGCGAGGGGAGUGAAAAAGAACCUGAAACCGUGUACGUACAAGCAGUGGGAGCACCCUUCGGGGUGUGACUGCGUACCUUUUGUAUAAUGGGUCAGCGACUUAUAUUCUGUAGCAAGGUUAACCGAAUAGGGGAGCCGGAGGGAAACCGAGUCUUAAUUGGGCGUUAAGUUGCAGGGUAUAGACCCGAAACCCGGUGAUCUAGCCAUGGGCAGGUUGAAGGUUGGGUAACACUAACUGGAGGACCGAACCGACUAAUGUUGAAAAAUUAGCGGAUGACCUGUGGCUGGGGGUGAAAGGCCAAUCAAACCGGGAGAUAGCUGGUUCUCCCCGAAAGCUAUUUAGGUAGCGCCUCGUGAAUUCAUCUCCGGGGGUAGAGCACUGUUUCGGCUAGGGGGCCAUCCCGGCUUACCAACCCGAUGCA
rnacentral:rRNA from 1 species